AUAUUAUUAACAUAUUCCUUACCUGAAUCAGAGACCAUAUAACAGUCUAUGUAUUAUGGUCUCUGUCUGAAUAUGUCACGUCUUCAGCUCCCUGCAAUCGAGGUUGUGAAACAUUUCUGCUGUAGGAAUAUUACAUCCGCUGGGAUAUCCCUUGUCACACUGCCUGGCAUGGUAGGCAAACGCAUAUUUCAUACACCACAUUGAUAUACUUCCUAAUACACACUGUCGAAAUCCCCGCGGCUCCCAAUAUGGCCUGCAUGAACUGUAAUCGGCCAACCUCGUCUCUUUCCGUAACUGCUGCAGAAAUGACCGCUCGUCAUUCGUGACCAACUCGUGUUAUUCCGGGACAAACAAGUCUACCCAUAAUUCCCUGUAUGACCGAGGGCGCCAUUUUGGAACACAAAUGUAAACAAACACUUAAACCUCGUGUAAUCGAUGUACACAGUGAUGCUUGAUUGCGAUAUGCUUACCUCGUGUAUCGAUACAUUGUUCUCAAUCACCUCUAACACGGAAAUCCCGGUCGAAAUCCACCUGAGCCAUCCACAACGAGGACGUCAAGUAUUUCGAAAACUCGAUUGGCAGCCGAAGGAAGGAAGAGCAGCUUGCAGAUGCCAGCAUGUUCAGGGUUUGUGGGGAGGUUCACAGACAUCCUCAGGGAGGAUACCAAGUAUUGAAAUGUCCGGAUGAAUAAAAGAGACAGUCAUCUGUGCAGCAUCAAUGCAAAGAAAGACCAUAGAAGAGCAACAAAACUGAAGUCCUGCUUGAGAUCCCUGGAUGAGUAUUCCAGGUUGACAGUCUGGAAGGACGAGACAAGGGAGUCCUAAACAGAGGCUGCACCCCUUCAGAUAUCAGAGGUGAUUUGCAGACAGCGAUGACGAGGGUCCUGUUAUUUCAAUGGAGGCCGACCGAGAAGUUGUAUGCCAAAUGGUACUGGGACACACAAAGGCUGGUCUGGCUAAUGUGAGAAGACCAACCAAUGCCAAGCUGGAGUGGAAUUCUUCCAGGACAUUCAGGAAAUUCUUGUCUUAUGGUAAACACUUGAAAGGAAUGAUAAAUGGGACUUAUUGUCUUUAAAUAUGGACCCAAACACCAAAUGGAAAGUUCACAAUUCUACUAACACAAUGCAGCAGAGAUAGAGUCUAACUGGUAUCCCCUCAUCCUGGUUCCUGUUCAUCCAUGGCAAUAUAGAAAGAAAAGGAGGAUUGAGGGAAAGUAAGUUCUCUGAACUGGUGAACAUAAUCCGUAGGUACUGUCAAGCGAACAGUUAUCACACUCUGUUAUGAGUAUUGAAGAAUAGGAUGAAAUUGCAUACUGCAUCAGGAACCAUCAUGUGAACACUGUUCAAUGUGCGAUAUACUAUAGGCAUAUGAAUAAAAGAAACUGAUAAUUUGA
rnacentral:lncRNA from 1 species